UUCCAUCACUAACAGCAAAGACUGACUCUUCCACUCGAUGAGGAAAAAAGCUAGGGCAGCCUGGCCAAUAGAAGACUCAGCACAACCAGACUGGCCCUUAUUCAGAGGCCACAGCGGUCUCGUGGUCAGGCACUGGGUCUAGGGGCCUGAGGCUACCAGCCGUGAUGGCAAGAGGAAUAGGGUCGAUCCAUGGACAUGGUCACCUCUCGCCUUCUUAGGAUGCCCAGAGAUUCUAGAAGCAGGAGCUCGUCCAGAGGCAGAAGUGGACAGGGGGCCCAGGGGAUUUUAAAUUCAGUCUUUGAAGAAUCUGCUUCUGUCUUCCAACCCUGAAUUUGCCCAGGUGCUGGCCGAGGCAUGGGGAACGUGUGAGCAUCAGACACGGCUCGGCAAGACACCCAGCACCUCGCAUGUGGGUGUGAUGACUCUCACCAGCUUCCUCCCGCCACUGAACCUUGAGACUCUCAGCAGGAGACAGACAGACUGUGCGGACUUCAUUCAUUCAACAAGUGUUUGUUGGGUGCCCUCCACUGUCAGACUUUGUGCUAGGCGGCGGGUUUGUGGCACUGGCUCUUGGGGACUUCAAAUUCAAGUGGGAGAUUUUGAUAAUUAAGAGCAUAUUAUAAACGGUGAUGAUUGCUAGUGAGAAAAGAUAUCCAGGGAGAGGAGGGCCAGGCUGCCACAAUGUCACCAUGACCGCCCCCUGCGCGGUGCCACCCCGGGCCCAGGUACAAGCAAGUGCAGGACAGGUGAAGGCUGGCACUGCUCAAGACCAAGGACUCAAGGCAACUGAUCAUUCGCUUCCACCUGGAAGAGUCUGGGCUUCCGGAGCAGAGAGACAGCACAAACCCUGCUCCAUGUUUUGCUAGACACAGAUGUCAUUUUUUAAAAGAGAAGCCUGUAAUUUUAUGGAAAGGAAUAAAUGGAUUUCUAACCCCAGAUCUCAUCUUUAUGUGCAAUUUUCUCUACUCUU